UUAGGCUUCAAUAAAAACAAAUUUGAAGUUAAUGUGCUCAAAAUGACAUGACUCUGCAUAAAUGUCUCCAGUUUACAAUAAACUCAUCACGAAAUGCGAAUGCCCUUUAAAGGAAGAGGUCUUAAUCGUGGACUUGACGGCUGAGGAGACACAAGCAUUUUCCUUUUAUUGCUGUAAAGAAUGGGGAGGAAAGUAGUUUCAUACACUGGCAGGUGAGAAACUGUAACGUCCUCCUAGAUGAUAAAAUUGCCAGACACUGUGUUAUCUACCUGGAAGCACCUGUGCAUGAGAAUGAGAAUGUGUGUUUGCAUAUGGAAAAACUCCUCCGUGCCCUGAAGUUAUCUGUCCAGAAGGCUGUGGAUCUGAACCUUAUAACUCACAUGACUAACGCGUCAAACAAUAACACUUGUGACCACUAAGUCAGAUCAAAUACCUCUACGCGGGGGCCACUGUUGGAUGUAACAAUGGGCAAGGGGGGGUUUCCUGUCCAUGUUUAUUGCAGCCAUUUUGUGUAUUACAAUGAGUAGUCAAUUUAUCUAAGGCGACGCACGUUGAGGUGGUUUCCCCUGGAGGCAGGUGUGCGCCUGUUUGCAUGUGUGUGAGACUGACUCAUGAGUUCCCCCGAGGUAAGUAAUUUACAACUUUCGCUUAUCAAUAGUCCACAUUCAUGAAUGACUAAAUGACUAUGUAACACAUAGAAUGUCUAUGCAGCUAAACAUCAGGUCAGGGAUUCCCAUUAUAACAACAAACAUGUACCCUCAUUCAAAUGAAAUAUCACUUCUAAAUAGGCAUUGCCUUUGUCUUGCAUAAUAGCAGGGAUGGGGGGUUCUAGGUGUGGCCAUGGCUCAUGGUGGGGUAGGUUUGAUUGUAGUCAAUUGUGGCCAAGAGAUGUACCUACUGUAGUCAGAUAUUGUGCGCGCGUGUGUGUGUGUGUGUGCGUGUGCGUGUGUGCGUGUGUGUGUGUGUGUGUGUGUGUGUGUGUGCGUGUGCGUGUGUGUGUGGUUUGUGCUCAGGAUGGGUGUGGCAGGGCAGGGCUUCUUGCUCCUAUCAUACCCACAAAAGACUGGGGCUUCUAUACUGAGAAAUCAAAAGUGAUAAAGGUCAAAGCAGCAACGUGAUGUCACAAAAAGAAAGUGCAGAAAGUCUGUGGCGUAUACUUUGUCUGCAGAUGAAAUGUAGGAUAAAUUCCAAAGAUGACUCCAGGAUACACAGAUGAAUACGGUGAUAAUUUGUGUGCCACUGGCUCCUGCUUUCAGACAUGCACUGAACUCUGCAGUUCCUCAGUAUUUUCUCCGCAGGAGGUGCAUGCGGGAACGCAAAUGUCCGAGUGACACACGACUUUGUCUGCCUGGCCUCCUAGGGAAAUGUCUCUAGAAAUCUGGGAAAAGUCAGGGCAGGGGAUUCACCACGAGCAAGUGGGGGGGUUGAGUAAAAAAUCGAAAAAACAAAACUAAUAUCUCCUGGUGAAAAAGCGGGGACACACACGUAGAAGACAGCGACCAAGACGACAAGAGAGUUUGUGGUGGUAAGAGCUGACACCGGUGUCUGUGUGUUGUCAAGAACAAGGGACCUGGGCAAUUGUUGAUGCUGUGGACUAACUUAAUGAGCCAUUCUCGGGGGGGCCCUCUCCCAGCUGAGGGCCCCAGGCAAUCGUCUGCUUUGCAUACCUUCUUGCAACACCCCUGCAAUGUGAACCAGAGACAUUCAGGGGAAUGUUAACCUUCAGUGCCGAUGUAGGCUACUCAUGUUUAAGCUACAGUCUAAUUAGGCUAAUUAGCAUCUCCGGGUUCGCCCUCCCUCGCUUCGACACAGCAAGAUUGAGCUCGACCAGAGGAGGAGUGAGGUCGAAACUGCGAAAAUGUAAAAAGCUGAACAAGAGCAGAAUGGAACUUCUGCAUUAAAACCGUUUAAAGGUUGUUGUUUUGUUUUUUUUCUAAACCAAUCACAAUUUGGAAAACACCUAAAUUAGAGACUUUUAGCUUUUGAGACGACUGUGCAUCAUGUGGAAGAGGCCGCCCCUCAACAACAGGAUGUUGUCCAACACAUUUUGGUCCUCUGUCUGUCACCAGGAGUUGUGCAUGGUCGCCGUGCUGUGCAGCGCUGGGUUUGUUGUUAUGGUGCAGAGGGGACCCAUCUCUCAGUGAGCAGCUGUCACUCCCUGCACCUCUGCUGUUGUUGAUGUCUUGAAGAGGUACUUUCCCUCCUUCGCACUUCCUCCCACAGGACUAUUUGUUUAUGACACAUUGUGUGUAUGUGCGUGUUUGUGUGUACAGUGUGUGUGUGUAUACUGUAAAUCUCUAUAUUACAUCUGGCACAUGUAUCUCAUAUAAGCUUGCAGAUUUUCAAAAUAUGAUUUGACUUCUUGUGCUGGACACAAAAUGAAAUCAUUAUACUUUUUUGCACAAAUUCACAUCCAUAGUGAACACACACUUAAAAUCACAAUCCAAAAAGUAUUGUUUGCCAAUUUAGCUCAUUCAAAUAGUGGCAUGCUGAUUGUGUGACGAAGUUGUGCCGCGUGAUUGGUUUUGCAUAACUCCUGCUUCUCUUUUCCUCACACAUGCUCUCGUCUCGCUUCUCGUGGCGUCCGCUGCCCGAAUGUCCACUGCAUGUGCAAUAGCGUGGACCCUCCUUCAGGGGUAAAUUAAGCUUUUGUAUCUCCCGGAGGACAGAAAAUGAAAGUGGGAAUACGCAUGCGCUACCUGGACUACAAUCCUCACCGCUCAUUUGGAUAUCAGCGUCAUGUGGAGCUGCAAUCAGGCUCUGGUUCCUGCUCUCUAACACCGUCUCUUCCACGAGGAAUAUUCGGCAACGCCAACCACCACCACCACCAUCUUUAACCACCAUCAAGCUUUACUGGACUUCUCCUCCUUAAAAUCACAGGAAUAAGACUCUGGCAGGAAUUGGGAACCCCCUGCUAACGGCUUUUGUGAUAAAGGAAAGGUAGAGGGCUGCACCCACUCAGCAGAUGGUACGUGGUGAGGCUGACAGUUGUACAUUAUUAACUCGUGCUCUGCAGAAUAAAAGGCUUGAAACAUU